rnacentral:sRNA from 1 species
CUAGCCCGGAUCGAAGCGGCAUCCUUUUUUGGUGGCUGAGGCCGCCGAAGCCACCAAGAAAGAUACAGCGGAGAGCCGGAUAAAG